rnacentral:lncRNA from 1 species
ACACUGAGCACCCCUGGGAGCCAAGGCAGCUUAAGGACAAGAUACUAACACUUCGGACCAGGAAAAAAGAAGCCCAUGACAUGGCACAGCGCUGUGGAGCGAGCGAGAUCUGGGAUGCGUAGGCCUGGACGGCUGAGGCUUGGAAACCCCUCCCCUCCCCAAACUUUCCCACCAUGCAGGGGCCCAGCAGGCCCUCAGCCCACUCACCCCGCCAGAGGAGGGAGGAGGGAGGAGGGUCCGGGCCAGGUGGGAGCUUCUCCCCGGAGGCCUGAGGCAGCUUCCCUCCUCUCCCAGGAAGGGGCUGGCCCAGGCCCAGCUAGGAUGCUCCCAGCCCAGCUCCUACCCGCCGGGUCUUUCCCGUUUGUCAGGCAGGCCGGCAGGCUGGGCUGGUGACUCAUGACUGGCUGGGCCAUCUGCCCUGCACCCCUGCCCCGGGCGAAGUGAGAAACCUGACCGGGCUCCAGCACAGACAGGAAACCCCACCCCAGGGCCUGCAGUGGGACAGGUGUGGCCGCCCUCCACCCCCACACAGGCCUCGGGGAGGGUGUCUGAGGCCGGCCUGGCCCUCUCUGCAGCACUGAAACACCAGCUGCCUCUCCCCAGCCCGGAACUGGGGAUCCAGUGUCCUCCGCACUGACCCCAGGCUCUGCUCUCCCUGGGAAGCACCCGCUUUGACAGUGGGGCCAAGGACUGGGGUUCCCACCCUCCUCUGCCCAGUGGACUUUGUGGCCCCAGGCAGGUGGCAUCAGCUCUCUGGGCCUAAGCUUCUCAUCUCUGCAGGGUUCAUCAGCUCAACAAGCAUUUGUGGGUUCCUGAGACCUGAAGGCUCCACUCCCCCACCUAAGCACACAACAGUCCAGGCACCACCCACAUCUCCCUCUUACCUGGAGCAGAGGGGCGGGUGUUCGGAGCCUUGGGGCCCAGGGUCAUUUGCACUGGAGGGGGCCAGGAACGCUCCCAGGAGUGUGGCAGUCCCUUCCUAGGGGGCCCCUCCUGGAGCAGCUGCCUUGAGAGCCCAGCCUACAGCAGAGCCUGGUGGGGUGGCCGGGCUACUGCUACCUGGCUUCACUGCUUUCUUCUGCCAUUCCUC